UAUUAUUUGGUGUAUGAUGCACUUAGAUUUUUGAAGUCUUUGGAAAUAGUUUAAUUCUAUUAUUAAUAU
rnacentral:tRNA from 1 species